GAUGAACGCUGGCGGCGUGCCUAAUACAUGCAAGUCGAGCGAACAGACGAGGAGCUUGCUCCUCUGACGUUAGCGGCGGACGGGUGAGUAACACGUGGAUAACCUACCUAUAAGACUGGGAUAACUUCGGGAAACCGGAGCUAAUACCGGAUAAUAUAUUGAACCGCAUGGUUCAAUAGUGAAAGACGGUUUUGCUGUCACUUAUAGAUGGAUCCGCGCCGCAUUAGUUAGUUGGUAAGGUAACGGCUUACCAAGGCAACGAUGCGUAGCCGACCUGAGAGGGUGAUCGGCCACACUGGAACUGAGACACGGUCCAGACUCCUACGGGAGGCAGCAGUAGGGAAUCUUCCGCAAUGGGCGAAAGCCUGACGGAGCAACGCCGCGUGAGUGAUGAAGGUCUUCGGAUCGUAAAACUCUGUUAUUAGGGAAGAACAAAUGUGUAAGUAACUAUGCACGUCUUGACGAUACCUAAUCAGAAAGCCACGGCUAACUACGUG
rnacentral:rRNA from 1 species